rnacentral:rRNA from 1 species
AGAGAGAGACAUGCGCGCAUAUCAAUAAGCGGAGGAAAAGAAACUAACAAUGGAUUCCCUCAGUAACGGCGAGUGAAGCGGGAAGAGCUCAAAUUUGGAAUCUUCAAGGUUUUACCUUGACGAAUUGUAGUUUAAAGAAGUGUUUUCUGCUGAAGUUUUGGUAAAAGUUCUUUGGAAUAGGACAUCAUAGAGGGUGAGAAUCCCGUAUUUGACCAUUAUUUUCAGCUUUGUGAUACACUUUCAAAGAGUCGGAUUGUUUGGGAAUGCAGUCCAAAAUGGGUGGUAAAUUUCAUCUAAAGCUAAAUAUUGGCGAGAGACCGAUAGCGAACAAGUACCGUGAGGGAAAGAUGAAAAGAACUUUGAAAAGAGAGUUAAACAGUACGUGAAAUUGUCAAAAGGGAAGCGUUUGACACCAGUGUUGUUUUCUCGAAAAUCAGUUAAAAAUGGCUCGAUUUUGUAUUGCUGAGACCUUAAAAGCUCACUGUACAUUUUUCGUGUCUUUUUUAAUGCACUUUCCGUUUAACAAGUCAACAUCAGUUUCUUUUGUUGUAAAAGGGUCAUUGGAAGGUGGCUUUCUUUUCGGAGAAAGUGUUUAUAGCCUUUGGCCUCUGCAAUCGGAGAGACUGAGGUCUGCAGCGUAGACUCUUCGGGGUUAGAUACAUUUGUGCUAAGUUAUAGCUUUUUAUAGACAACUUGUUGACUAUAAUUAGUCUUGUAGCUUACCUCGCUUAUGCUAUUUUACCUACGCUUAGGAUGUUGAAGAUGUAGCACAUCAU